GAUGAAGAACGCAGCGAACUGCGAUAAGUAAUGUGAAUUGCAGAAUUCAGUGAAUCAUCGAGUCUUUGAACGCACAUUGCGCCCCCUGGCAUUCCGGGGGGCAUGCCUGUCUGAGCGUCAUUGCUGCCCUUCAAGCCCGGCUUGUGUGUUGGGUCGUCGUCCCCCCCGGGGGACGGGCCCGAAAGGCAGCGGCGGCACCGCGUCCGGUCCUCGAGCGUAUGGGGCUUUGUCACCCGCUCGAUUAGGGCCGGCCGGGCGCCAGCCGGCGUCUCCAACCUUUUAUUUUACCAGGUUGACCUCGGAUCAGGUAGGGAUACCCGCUGAACUUAAGCAUAUCAAUAAGCGGAGGA
rnacentral:misc_RNA from 1 species